GUGUCAGCCGCCGCGGUAAUACGGAGGAUCCAAGCGUUAUCCGGAUUUAUUGGGUUUAAAGGGUGCGUAGGUGGUUUUUUAAGUCAGGGGUGAAAGACGGCAGCUUAACUGUCGCAGUGCCUUUGAUACUGAAGAACUUGAAUUAACUAGAGGUAGGCGGAAUGUGACAAGUAGCGGUGAAAUGCAUAGAUAUGUCACAGAACACCAAUUGCGAAGGCAGCUUACUAUGGUUAUAUUGACACUGAGGCACGAAAGCGUGGGGAUCAAACAGGAUUAGAUACCCCAGUAGUCC
rnacentral:rRNA from 1 species